GAUGAACGCUAGCUACAGGCUUAACACAUGCAAGUCGAGGGGCAGCGCAGUGUAGCAAUACACGGGCGGCGACCGGCGCACGGGUGCGUAACGCGUAUCCAACCUUCCCGUUACUCUCGGAUAGCCUUCCGAAAGGGAGAUUAAUACGAGAUGGUGUUGAAAUUCCGCAUGUUAUUUCAACUAAAGAUUCAUCGGUAACGGAUGGGGAUGCGUGACAUUAGGUAGAUGGCGGGGUAACGGCCCACCAUGCCGACGAUGUCUAGGGGUUCUGAGAGGAAGGUCCCCCACACUGGGACUGAGACACGGUCCAGACUCCUACGGGAGGCAGCAGUGAGGAAUAAUGGUCAAUGGCCGGAAGGCUGAACCAGCCAAGUAGCGUGAAGGAUGAAGGUUCUAUGGAUUGUAAACUUCUUUUAUACGGGAAUAAAACCACCUACGUGUAGGUGCUUGUAUGUACCGUAUGAAUAAGCAUCGGCUAACUCCGUGCCAGCCGCCGCAGUAAAAC
rnacentral:rRNA from 1 species